rnacentral:lncRNA from 1 species
CAAGAUUGCAUAUUAUAUCUAAGAUUACAUAUCAUAUCUAAGAUUGCAUAUCCUUGAAGAUUAUGUUUCAAUAUGCAUCAAGUUUGUAGAUAGACCUUCAACCUUUUCAAGUAAUGGGCCAUCCCGAUCGGGCCAAAUUAUAUAAUUUUAGACUUUGUUUUAUUAUUUUGGGUUUAUUAUUUUUUUAUAAGUUCAGGCUAAAUUGGCCUAUUACAUAUCAUACACAAACAUUUAACCAUAUAUUAAUAAUUAAACUUUCCAAGAAUUUUCAAAGCAAUCAAUAUCAAAUAACAAUCUAGGAGGAUUGAGAAACACCAUUUCUUACUUUAUUGAAGCUCUCUCUUUAGCUUCAAUUUUAUCUCUUAAGACUCAACCAAACCUUUGCUGAAAGUGGAGAGAUUUAAGGUGGAAAUGAGUUUUGGAGAUGAGUUUCUUAGUGAUUUUGACAAAAACUCAAGAUUUGAGCAGUGGGUUUUAAAGCGAUUUCAAGAAAAAGCAAGAAAAUUAAAGAGAAGAAGACAGACUCCAUGGGAUGGGGGGUGGUCAUGCAAC